CGUGGCGCUGUCGACCACCGUUGCGAUUUCCUUUUUUGUCGGGGCAGGCUUGACCUGAAAGACGUAAGGCUGAAACAGCGUCGCCUGGCACAUCAUCAUGAACUGUGCACCAGCGAGAUAGCAGUCGUCGAUCGCAAGCUCCCCCGCUUUGACCCGCGCUGCAAGAUAAUCGCCGAGCAGGCGCAUGGUGUGGGCGAUAACAUGAUCAUAGAAACGCCU
rnacentral:misc_RNA from 1 species